CAGCAGCCGCGGUAAUACGUAGGGUGCGAGCGUUAAUCGGAUUUACUGGGCGUAAAGCGUGCGCAGGCGGCCCGUUAAGACAGGUGUGAAAUCCCUGGGCUCAACCUAGGAAUUGCGCUUGUGACUGGCGGGCUCGAGUACGGUAGAGGGGGGUGGAAUUCCUGGUGUAGCAGUGAAAUGCGUAGAGAUCAGGAGGAACACCGAUGGCGAAGGCAGCCCCCUGGGCCUGUACUGACGCUCAUGCACGAAAGCGUGGGGAGCAAACAGGAUUAGAUACCCUGGUAGUCCACGCCCUAAACGAUGGGUACUAGCCGUUUGGUGCGCGAAAGCGCUGAGUGGCGAAGCUAACGCGUGAAGUACCCCGCCUGGGGAGUACGGCCGCAAGGUUGAAACUUAAAGGAAUUGGCGGG
rnacentral:rRNA from 1 species